AGAUACAUGCCCUUGACCGGAAUCGAACUUGGGACCUUUCAGUCCGCAGGCUGACGCUCUAUCCACUGAGCCAAACCGGUUUCGGCGAGCUGAAGACCCUUUACAUAGGGCCCAGCAUGACCUUUUAACUUGAUUACUGUUUCCAAAUAAUUGAGGUUCUGGGGGUUAGGACUUCAAAUAUCUUUACAAGUCAUCCCAUCACAUCAAUGGAGCAAUCAGGUCCAUUUUUACAAUCAGUAUCAAUUAAUGUUCAGUAAAUAGGGAUCUGUACCAGACACUAGAUAUGCAAAGGUUUUUCAGUUUUUGUCCUUAAAGGCAAUCUAUUUGGAAAGACCAGGCUUGUACAUAACAAAGUGAGCAGUGAGUGAUGCAGACUUGAUAGCUAAGUGCUAAUGAUGCUUACAUGGAAGACAGGAUGACACUUGGAAGUCUGGGCCCAUUGGAGAAGAGGGCUUUUGGGAGUGGUGGAGAGGGAGCUGGGUGGGAUUUGAAAAGUAUUUUAUGGAAGAUGAAGAAGGAGAAAGGGUUUUGGAGAGGAGGUGAGAUUGUGAAUGAAACAACUAGCAAAUAUUUAAGAGUUUAGUUAUUAAAAUUGCUUAUGUAGUUUAAUGUCUCAGUAAUGUUUGUCCUCAGACUUUGUGCUUCCUCAGGAAGAAAGGAUGGGAAAGGUUACUUGGGAUAUUUCUUAUGCAAAGUGGAAAGAUAGGGAGAUUCUUGUAGGAUGUGAGAUUUUUCAUGUUUAAAGAUAAUUAUUAGAAGAAAUUCUAACUUUAGGAUUGCCAGCUCUCAAAUGAUUUUUGUUUUGCAGUUAUUAAACAACUUUCAUCAUUAGAUUUGAUAGCUCAGUAAAUUUAAGAGAAGUAGAUUGAAACAAAAACCUGGACAUUUAGGAAUUUUAUUUUUCACAUUUUGCUUAUGAGUUUAGAGGAAAAUCAAGAGAAUAGGGAAGAUUAAGAAGAGACAUGCUAAAGAGAAGAACCAGUAAAUCUAUUUAGUACUGUGCUAGGUGAAUUGGGCACAAGAGCAGUUUCUUUCUUUUUUAAAAAUAUGUUUUUAUUGAUUUUAGAGAAAGAGGGAGGGAGAGGGUUGCGAGAGAGAAACAUCCAUUGACUGCCUUCUGCCCCUGUGCUCCAACCAGUGAGUGCAUGGGGCAAUCCUCACAACUGAGCCAUACUGGCCAGAGCACAAGAGCAGUUUCUUAAAGAAGAUUUGGUCUUACUGGGGAGAUGAGACUUAAAUUCAUGGCAUUGAAAUAUCAGAAACGUGGGUAUAUGAGCUUUGCAAGGAUUGUCUCUAGAAAGGGGAAGGUUGUCUGUUGAAUCCUCAAACAUAAAAAUUGUAACUCUACUGUACCAGUUAACAGAUUGUAGUACAACUUUCUGCUCUUACACAGGUGAGUUAUUCACUCUUGCCAUUUUCAUUUUUGUAGUAGUUUAUUGUUACUAGAUUUUACAGAAAAUAUUUUAUUUGAAACAACACAAUAGUUACAUGCUGUCACUAUAUAUUUACACGAAUAUAUGUCCAUUUUAUCUACACAACUAUCAUUUAUAUUGAAGACUAUAAAAGUGAACUUGAGGUUUGAAUACUAUAAGCUCCCCCCCCCCUUUUGUGGCAUUUUUAUUCAUAUUACACCUGCUAAUGUUAGAAAACAAGCAAUACAUUGUUGUAAUUAGUAAUUUACCAUCUCUGUUUCCUAAGCCCAAUACAGCUUUGUUCUUAAUCAUCUCAUGUGUUGUUAUCAGUAAAUAUGUUACAUAUAAAUUACAUUUAUAUAUGUUAUAGGCUGAGUAAUACCUUAUAUACACACAUAUAAUGUUGCACAGUUUCUUUUUAAAUUGGUUAAGAGAGGAAAGAAGGGGAAAAAGUAUUGAUAGUGUUCUUUUUAGGGAAAUAAUUAUCAUUACAGGUUCUCUUUUAGUUGUUGUUCAAAUGGACUUGAAUUACUGCCGAGAUCACCUGCUUUCAGCCUGAAUAACCUCCUUUAGUAUUUCUUAUAAGAUGUGUCUGCUAGCAAAAAAUUGUCAGGGGGUGGGCACAGUUCAACCCAUACCAGAUGGUAGGUUAAAGAAAUAUUGUCAUCUUAAGUCCUUUCAGAAACAAGGUGUCUGCUGGGAACCCUGUAUUUAUUUUCAUGGCUGACUAAACUCAUAAUCACAAGCCUCCUGCACACCCCCUACUGGGGAUUGAGCCCGCAACCCCGGGCA